GCAGUACGGAUUGACUAACACGCGUGUUAGUCGCGCGUUUUACACCGUCGAUUUUGCAAUAAACGGCUGCGAUUGACUAACAUGUCGCUAUCACGCUGAACGAAAGGUCUGUUUUGGAGCCAGAAUAGCUUCGGCCAAUUGAAAAUGGGGCACCUGCUUAUAUUCAUCUGAUAUGCUAUAUUUGAAAAAAUCCAAAGUACCCCAAUGUUUGGUUAAAGCGCAAUUAUGUCAAUCAACCUCGUCCAUUGGAUACGGAAUCCAACGGUGCAGAGGGCCCCGAUGGAUGACCGUUAACACCACAGCAAAUUCAAAUGCUAACACCGACAAUUUCUUCUGUUUCUCUCGUUUUUCUUUUCAUUCAAUCAUAACAAUCAUUACCCAUAUAUUUUUGUUCACAGAAAAAAUCGACUCAGUUCGGUAUAUUUUGUUUCUAAAAAUGCUGUUCCAAGUUUCUUUCGAAUACUCUCUGGACAUGAUCAGAAACAGGGUCUCAGCAAUUAUAUAAAAAGAUCAGGGUUUCAGCAAUGCAGGUUGAUUUUGGAUCUGUUGGGCACUCUGGUAUUUAGGAAAUCUGAAGCCAAUAAUGUGGGGUUUGGAUUGAGUUUGAGGCGCUCUGAUAUGUAUAAAAUGACAAAGGAAAACGAUCCCCCUACUAUUAAGUGGAGGAAGGGUGAGAUUAUUGGCUGUGGGGCUUAUGGCAGGGUAUAUAUGGGCAUGAAUCUUGACUUGGGAUUUUGCAUAACACGAAGGUAAUUACAGGAUAACCUGUCAAUAACCUACCUUGUUAAGCCGUUCUAACCAUGUAAUUGACGUAUAACCUGAUGGUUAGAACUUAGAAUGACUUAACAUGACAGGUUAUUGACAGAUUUUGCAUAACUUGAAGGUUACUUUGCCAAUUUACCUCAUAACACCUCAGAAUUGUAGAGUACCUCAGAAUUGUAUUCAUAUGAAAAUAUUAUAGAGUACCUCAGAAUUGUAUUCAUGUAUUUGAAAGGCAAUUUUGAAUGGAUAACUGUCGCUAAGGGAUAAAUCGCGAAAGGUUACUUUACCUCAUGAAGAAACUCGAUCUAGGUGAUAUAAUGAAUUGCUCACAUUUUGGGUUGAGUCUGACUCCGUGGUAUUUUACUGGUUCUUUUACCUUUUGAAGAAUAUUGUCACAGGUGCCAUUAUCUUUCAAAGGAAGUUGGCCCAGUUGUUGCUCUGGACCAUUGGAUUGAAUUCCCCUGCUUUUCAUGAUGCUUGCAGCUGCAUUCUCCAUCUUUACUAAAACUUUGAUGAAAUGCAAGGCCUGAUCUUUGUGUUACAUCAUUUUAGAUUCAAGCUCUGUAUGACCGGUUUGGGGUAUGUGUACUAUAUUUUUCACUGAACAGAGGAUUUAGAUGGAUUGAUAUGUCAUCCAAGUUAACUGGAUGGAUGUUAUGGUCUUAUAAACUCGAUAGGUUUUUAAUAAAUCAAAAAGCCUCGCGGAUUCUUAAGUAUCACAUGGAUGGAUGUUAUGGUCU